AACGAACGCUGGCGGCACGUUUUAAGCAUGCAAGUCGAAUGGCAGUGGGGGCAACCCCAUGAGAAUGGCGAACGGGUGAGUAACACGUAGGUGAUCUGCCUGACGGUUGGGGAUAGCCUGUGGAAACGCAGGGUAAUACCGAAUGAGCUGACGACACUUUGGUGAUGUUAGCAAAGGUGCUACGGCACCGCCGACAGAGGAGCCGGCGGCUGAUUAGCUAGUGGGUGGGGUAAAGGCCUACCAGGGCGACGAUCAGUAGCCGGACUGAGAGGGUGGACGGCCACACUGGAACUGAGACACGGUCCAGACUCCUACGGGAGGCAGCAGCUAAGAAUCUUCCGCAAUGGGCGAAAGCCUGACGGAGCGAUGCCGCGUGAUCGAUGAAGGUCGAGAGAUUGUAAAGAUCUUUUCCACAUGAGGAAUAAGUCUGGGAGGGAAUGCCUGGAUGAUGACGUUAGUGUGGGAAUAAGCCCCGGCUAAUUACGUGCCAGCCGCCGCGGUAA
rnacentral:rRNA from 1 species